CACUUCUACGGAGGGCAGCAGGCGCGCAAUUGCCCAAUGUCGAUAAAAACGAUGAGGCAGCGAAAAGAAAUAGGCCUCCCAGCCACUCUGUGGUUGGGAGAUACAAUGGGGGAUAUUUAACGCCAUCCAAAAUCGAGUAACAAUUGGAGGACAAGUCUGGUGCCAGCACCCGCGGUAAUUCCAGCUCCAAAAGCGUAUAUUAACGCUGUUG
rnacentral:rRNA from 1 species